UUGGGAGUUUAGCUCAGUGGUAGAGCACUCUCCUAGCAAGCGCAAGGCCCUGGGUUCGGUCCUCAGCUCUGAAA
rnacentral:tRNA from 1 species